rnacentral:rRNA from 1 species
CAAUGUGGGGGAUCACUUAGUCCUUAAAUCGAUGAAAAACAUAGUAAUUUGUGGAAAAUGAUGUGAGUUGUGAAAUUUUGUGAGCAUUGUGUUUUUGAAUGAAAAUUUCAGCAUGGAUGCAUGCGUGUCUAUGCUGCAUUUGUUUCAGUAUAUAUCAAUGUAAAUUUGUCGUUACUAUUGCUUG